AUUGAACGCUGGCGGCAGGCUUAACACAUGCAAGUCGAGCGGGGGAAGGUAGCUUGCUACCGGACCUAGCGACGGACGGGUGAGUAAUGCUUAGGAAUCUGCCUAUUAGUGGGGGACAACAUCUCGAAAGGGAUGCUAAUACCGCAUACGUCCUACGGGAGAAAGCAGGGGAUCACUUGUGACCUUGCCCUAAUAGAUGAGCCUAAGUCGGAUUAGCGAGUUGGUGGGGUAAAGGCCUACCAAGGCGACGAUCUGUAGCGGGUCUGAGAGGAUGAUCCGCCACACUGGGACUGAGACACGGCCCAGACGCCUACGGGAGGCAGCAGUGGGGAAUAUUGGACAAUGGGGGGAACCCUGAUCCAGCCAUGCCGCGUGUGUGAAGAAGGCCUUAUGGUUGUAAAGCACUUUAAGCGAGGAGGAGGCUCUUUUGGUUAAUACCCAAGAUGAGUGGACGUUACUCGCAGAAUAAGCACCGGCUAACUCUGUGCCAGCCGCCGCCGUAA
rnacentral:rRNA from 1 species